AAUCAACGCUGGCGGCGUGCCUCAGACAUGCAAGUCGAACGAUUAAGACUUCCUUCGGGAAGUGUAUAAAGUGGCGCACGGGUGAGUAACACGUAUGUAAUCUACCCUCGAGUGGGGAAUAACGUUCGGAAACGAACGCUAAUACCGCAUAAUGCAGCGGCAUCGCAAGAUGACAGUUGUUAAAGGAGUAAUUCGCUUGAGGAGGAGCUUGCGGCAGAUUAGCUAGUUGGUAAGGUAACGGCUUACCAAGGCUACGAUCUGUAUCCGGUCUAAGAGGACGGUCGGACACACUGACACUGAAUAACGGGUCAGACUCCUACGGGAGGCAGCAGUCGGGAAUUUUGGGCAAUGGGCGAAAGCCUGACCCAGCAACGCCGCGUGAAGGAUGAAGUAUUUCGGUAUGUAAACUUCGAAAGAAUGGGAAGAAUAAAUGACGGUACCAUUUAUAAGCUCCGGCUAACUACGUGCCAGCCGCCGCGGUAACAC
rnacentral:rRNA from 1 species